GACGAACGCUGGCGGCGUGCUUAACACAUGCAAGUCGAACGAUGAACUUGGAGCUUGCUCUGGGGGAUUAGUGGCGAACGGGUGAGUAACACGUGAGUAACCUGCCCUGGACUCUGGGAUAACUUCGAGAAAUCGGAGCUAAUACCGGAUAGGACCUUGCACCGCAUGGUGUGGGGUGGAAAGUUUUUCGGUUUGGGAUGGACUCGCGGCCUAUCAGCUUGUUGGUGAGGUAAUGGCUCACCAAGGCGUCGACGGGUAACCGGCCUGGGAGGGUGACCGGCCACACUGGGACUGAGACACGGCCCAGACUCCUACGGGAGGCAGCAGUGGGGAAUAUUGCACAAUGGGCGCAAGCCUGAUGCAGCAACGCCGCGUGCGGGAUGACGGCCUUCGGGUUGUAAACCGCUUUUAGUAGGGAAGAAGCCUUCGGGUGACGGUACCUGCAGAAAAAGGACCGGCUAACUACGUGCCAGCAGCCGCAAUAAGAC
rnacentral:rRNA from 1 species